rnacentral:rRNA from 1 species
UACGAAGGGGGCUAGCGUUGCUCGGAAUCACUGGGCGUAAAGGGCGCGUAGGCGGGCCUUUAAGUCAGGGGUGAAAUCCUGGAGCUCAACUCCAGAACUGCCUUUGAUACUGAAGAUCUUGAGUUCGGGAGAGGUGAGUGGAACUGCGAGUGUAGAGGUGAAAUUCGUAGAUAUUCGCAAGAACACCAGUGGCGAAGGCGGCUCACUGGCCCGAUACUGACGCUGAGGCACGAAAGCGUGGGGAGCAAACAGG